rnacentral:rRNA from 1 species
AGAGUUUGAUCCUGGCUCAGGAUGAACGCUGGCGGCGUGCCUAACACAUGCAAGUCGAACGGGAGUCACUUGGUUCGCUAAGUGAUGAGAGUGGCGCACGGGUGAGUAACACGUAACUAAUCUGCCCUGGAGAGUGGGAUAACGCAUCGAAAGGUGUGCUAAUACCGCAUAAGCUCACGUUGAGUAGGUAGAUGUGAGAAAAGGUUCAGGCGCUUUGGGAUGAGGUUGCGGCCCAUCAGCUAGUUGGUAAGGUAAAGGCUUACCAAGGCGACGACGGGUAGGGGGCCUGAGAGGGUGACCCCCCACACUGGGACUGAGACACGGCCCAGACUCCUACGGGAGGCAGCAGUGAGGGAUAUUGCUCAAUGGACGCAAGUCUGAAGCAGCGACGCCGCGUGAGUGAAGAAGGCCUUCGGGUCGUAAAGCUCUUUUCUUGGUGACGAGGAAGGACGGUAGCCAAGGAAUAAGUGUCGGCUAACUACGUGCCAGCAGCCGCGGUAAAACGUAGGACGCAAGCGUUAUCCGGAAUUACUGGGCGUAAAGAGCGCGCAGGCGGGUGAGCAAGUCAUGUGUGAAAGCUCCCGGCUAAACUGGGAGAGGACGGAUGAUACUGCUGAUCUUGAGUGUGACAGAGGCGUGUGGAAUUCCGCGUGUAGUGGUGAAAUGCGUAGAUAUGCGGAGGAACACCAGUGGCGAAGGCGGCACGCUGGGUCACAACUGACGCUGAGGCGCGAAAGCAUGGGUAGCGAACGGGAUUAGAAACCCCGGUAGUCCAUGCCGUAAACGAUGUGCACUAGACGUUCGGUCGGCUUAGGUCGGAUGAGUGUCGAAGCAAACGCGAUAAGUGCACCGCCUGGGGAGUACGGUCGCAAGGCUAAAACUCAAAGGAAUUGACGGGGGCCCGCACAAGCAGCGGAGCGUGUGGUUUAAUUCGAGGCUACGCGAAGAACCUUACCUGGGUUUGACAUCACCGUGGACGAAAGCGAAAGCUGGAGGUUCCUUCGGGACGCGGUGACAGGUGCUGCAUGGCUGUC